rnacentral:rRNA from 1 species
CACGUAGGGGACGAGCGUUGUCCGGAUUCAUUGGGCGUAAAGCGCGCGUAGGCGGCUCGGAAAGUCGGUCGUGAAAUGCCGGGGCUCAACCCCCGGGACUGCGUCCGAUACUGGAUGGCUUGAGUUUGGGAGAGGGAUGCGGAAUUCCAGGUGUAGCGGUGAAAUGCGUAGAUAUCUGGAGGAACACCGGUGGCGAAGGCGACAUCCUGGACCGGAAUUGACGCUGAGGCGCGAAAGCCAGGGGGAGCAAACGGG